GUUUGCACUUGUCGGGGAAGGGUGAGAACCUUCGAUUAAGGUUCGACUCGAGCGAAAGCGAGAGAACGUUGCCAACGGCAACGGCCCGUAGGGUGAGGAGCGAAGCGACGAAUAAUCCUUCCACCACCAUCA
rnacentral:sRNA from 6 species